rnacentral:snoRNA from 1 species
GGCAUCAUGUCAGAUCUCAAUUCUUUUUAUAUAUAUUUGGACUUAGAGAAUAGUGCAAAAAAUAAAUUCUCUUUUGGAACCUAGAACUCAUUGUUCAGUAUGAGUUUUGAUACAUACAAGCAAGAAUGUU